rnacentral:tRNA from 1 species
GCCGAAGUGGCGGAAUUGGCAGACGCGCCAGAUUCAGGUUCUGGUGGUGGAAACGCUGUGGGGGUUCGAGUCCCCCCUUCGGCACCA